rnacentral:rRNA from 1 species
AGAGUUUGAUCCUGGCUCAGAGCGAACGCUGGCGGCAGGCCUAACACAUGCAAGUCGAGCGCCCCGCAAGGGGAGCGGCAGACGGGAGAGUAACACGUGGGAACGUGCCCUUUGGUUCGGAAUAACUCAGGGAAACUUGAGCUAAUACCGGAUAAGCCCUUCGGGGGAAAGAUUUAUUGCCAUUGGAGCGGCCCGCGUCGGAUUAGCUAGUUGGUGAGGUAACGGCUCACCAAGGCGACGAUCCGUAGCUGGUCUGAGAGGAUGACCAGCCUCACUGGGACUGAGACACGGCCCAGACUCCUACGGGAGGCAGCAGUGGGGAAUAUUGGACAAUGGGCGCAAGCCUGAUCCAGCCAUGCCGCGUGGAUGAUGAAGGCCCUAGGGUUGUAAAGUCCUUUUAACGGGGAAGAUAAUGACGGUACCCGUAG